rnacentral:lncRNA from 1 species
CCACCACCUAGUACAAACCAUCCCACUGACUGCUACGAGGGCAUGCGAGAAGGCAGCCAGUGACCUGAGCUCGGUGUAGAUGAAGCCAAGAUGGAAAAACCCAAGACAAUACGAGUGAUCUAAUUAUUAGGACUUGGAAUCUGAACCACAGACAUCUGCCGAAUCACCGUGUCUGGGAUGCAUCAAUUCUUUCCUAUACCCAUGUUCUAAGACAAGGAACUUGAACCUAACCACGGAUUCCUUUGGGAGUCCACUGAGGGCUUUCUGACUGAUAAGUGUCUGGCUUGUAAGCAGC